AACAAAACAAAAACAAACAAACAAAAAACCAGGAAAUCAAGACAGGAAGCAGCUAUGUCAGGUGGGCAGAACUGGGAAUAUCGUAAUACCGCAGCUUGCAUCUCACUAGUCAGAGGGCCACUGCAAGCCUCUGGGAACUAUGAUAAGGUGUUGCACUUGGCCCAUCGACGUGGCAUCUGGGUUCUAUCCAUGAGGAAGGCCGGUAUCAUCCACACUGGGUACAGGCUGACCUACAAAAAGUAAUGCAGACUCAUCUCCCUCCUCCUGCUGUCUGCCGUGCUGAUAAUAGAGCCGAAGAAUCGCCCAAGCUCGAACACCCACCAUCAGCUCACACAGAGUGCGCCUUGAAUUCAGAUGCGUAAUGGGAAGGCAUAGGGAGUGCUGGGGACGCACAACCGAGAGUCCCUACUCUGUGAUAGGAACUCCGCCAUUUUCUUAAUAAGACUGAUGCCAUUCAGAAGGUCCCCAGGGCACACCCGCCUCAUUUGUCCAUUGUGACCUGGCUUUAUGGGCCCAUGGAAGCAAAUGCAUUAUCACCAUUAAACUCCAGGCUUGUCAGAUUUAGUCCACUGCACCUGUGCUCUGUUAUUGAAUGAACUAUAUAAUCAGCAUUCAUACUGCUAAGUCACCUUAAUAUUAAGUUAUAUUUGGGAGAUGGGUGAGCGCUGGGUUCAUCCACAAUGGAAACUCCCCAAAUAAUAGUUGGUUUCCAUAGACAGAGGUCAGCAGACCGCAGUUGACAUUGUAAGCCAGCACCCAGGUGCCUCACUUUCACACUGCUUCAUCUUGUAUGCAGUCUAGUUUCAAGGUUAUGUCACUACCCAGGAAGGCUGUAGGCCUUCUAGCCACCAUAUUUGAAUCCCAACCGUCUGGAAAGCAGAAGUCAAUGGCUCUUGAAAGGCAUUUCCUAGCAGUCACUUGUCACUGAUACAGUUCCACUAGAACUGAGUCACAGGGUCACAAUUUACGUACAGAUCAGGCUUGUAUGGGGUGACUGUAGUGGUUUUUGUUUUGUUUUGUUUAAGAAGUCAGGUGAUCAUUACCCUCAAAGACUGAGGAAAAGGAUACUGGGAGCAAGGUCAUCUUGGCAACUCCAAUUCCUUAUCCACAUUAGUAGAAUAAAUAUUUAACUCUUCAAGGCCAAGGCCAAGAGUUCAUGCUUCUUGUGCAUGCCUAUUGCUCAUACGGACUGUGCAUGAUCUUAGGUAAUUUACGAGCAAUAUUGUAGUUAAUACUCACAAGGCUCUCUGAAGACACUAUUAUCCUACCACAUAUGUCAGAAAACAGAGCCCAGCGGCCAAGGUCAUAGAGUUCACAAGAAGCAUAGCCUCACUUGGAGGAUAAGUUCUUAAUUAACUUUGUGCGCCUUUGGACAAUGUGGUGGUGGUGGUGGUGGUGGGUGGGGGGAGAACUUUCUUGUCUUUGGCUGCUGUUCCUUUGGAAUUUUUCAUUACACAUAUAAAGAGUCCGUCUUCUCUGGAGCUCUGGUUGGGUCUUUGAAUUAACAACUAUUUUGUCCACAUUUCUUCUUAUGUCUGUUUUGGAGUCUUGUCCUUUAUAAAUAGGAUAAAAAGGGUCAGAAUGAGCCUUAAUUUGGAGAAGAAUGGGAAAUCUGUCCGUGCUGGAGAGCCCAGCAAAUGAGCCUGACCUGGCAGAGCUCCAAAGGACAGGUUCCAAAGCUCUGUGGCAAGAAAGAUAAGCCCUGGAUCCACCACUCACCCCAGGACAACACCCUUUACCUGCUGUUUGCUAGGCUAAGACUUGGAAUGUUUGAUAUGAGGACUCAAAUGUGAGCGUACAUGUGCCCACCACGAAUACAAGCACCAGGCAACAGAGAGCAUCUGACAGGCCUGUGUUACUUUACUAUCUUGCUGCUGGCCCGUGGGACUUCAUUAAGACUUCCAGCUGUAUGCAAACAGGAAAGAAACGUGAACGCUUAGAGGGUGGAAGAAAGGUGUGGCAUGACUAACUGCACAGGCCAAGCCAAACUGCCUUUUGUCAGUAUACUUUCCUGCAGGAACAGGAACGAAACCAGAGCAUCCGUCCACUGUAUGUAUGGAAGAGGAAGCGGGACUUGGUGCCCAGGGCUCAGAAACCCAGGCAGACCCCAGCCAGUCCUGUAGAGACAAUA